AAACUCGGUUCCAUCUCAAUUGUCUUAUCCUUGCUGCUGUUAGCAUUUUCCUUCAAGCCAUGCAGUUGAUUAACAAAUCAAUUAAAACACAGCUCAUUAAAGGUGCCAUCACAGGUGGACAAGGUGGUGAAGAAGAUGUUUUGCCCAGGAGUUGGGAUGUUCUCUUGCAAUGUGUAAUUGUUGGGGUAAUGUGUGGAGUUUUGGACGUCCUGUAUGGGACAGACGUGGUUAAACUGGAAGGGAUUUACGAGAGUGCUGUGAGGACUAGAGGGCCUGUGUUGUAGGCCCAGACUAGGCCUUUAUUCCUUGGGUCAUAGCAAAAUGAGAAGUGACCUGAUAGAAGAGCUUAAGGUUAUGAGAGACAUUGAAAAGGUGGGUGGUAACCGGGGUAGAAAAAUCCCAAACCAGGGACAAUAAGUUAGAGUGAGAGAGGAAAGUUUUAGAAGGGAAUGAGGGGCAACUGUUUCAAGUAGUUGGUGGUGAGUAUGGGGAGCGAGCUGCCAGAGGAAGUGGUUGAGAGUAAUAUGGAUGGGUACGUGGAGGGGUUUGGAGCAGGGGGUCCCAAACCUGGGGUGCCAGACCCCUUGGUUAAUGGCAAGGCUCCAUUGCAUGAAAAGGUUGGGAACCCGUGGUUUCGAGGGAUAUGCGCUGAAUGCAGGAAAUUGGGACUGGCUGGCUGGGUACCAUGGGUCAGCAUGGACUGGUUGGGCUGAAGGGCUUGUAUCCUGUUGUUUAUUCUGUUGUUGAGCUUUUCUUCAUCAUUACAUGUAUUCAGGUGGCAAUUCCAGUACUUUAGGUUUUGAUGGGUUGGCACUGACAAUCCCAGGAACACUCUGCAUUAGGAUGAACCUACUGACACUCUGUGAGAAGUUUUAACCACAUUUAUUCAGGUCGACCUUUAACCCCUCUUUUAGUUUGGACGAGAGAAGGGUGAUCGAGAUUAACAUGUUAGGAGGUAAAUCAGGGCAUAGAUUUUUAGCAUGAAGUAAAAGAUUUGGAGAGAGUCUGAAGGAACAAAAUUGCUGGUAGCUGGCAUUAGGAAAGUGGAUCGUUGAUAGCUGGUAUGGACAUGGUAUUUUUAUACAACACACACAAAAUGCUGGAGGAACUUGGCAAGUCAGGCAGCAUCUAUGGAAAUGAAUAAACAGUCAACAUUUCAGCCCGAGGCCCUUCACAGGACUGGAAAGGAAGGGAGGAGAAGCUGGAAUAAGCAGGGAAGGGGUACAAGCUCUCGUGAUAGGUGAGGGUGAAGUUAGGUUGGUGGGGGACAGGGAAUGAAGUAAAAGCUGGGAGUUGAUUGGCAGAAGAGAUAAAUGUCUGAAGAAAUCUGGAGAAAACAGUGGACCAUGUAAGAAAGAGAAGGAGGAGGGACAGCAGAGGAAGGUGAGAGAAAAGAAGCGGUAAGAAGGAAGCCAAAAUGGGGGAGGGAGGGAAUUUACCAGAGGUUAGAGCAAUUGAUGUUCAUGCCAUCGGGUUAGAGGCUAUCCAGAUGGAAUAUGAAGUGUUUCACCUCCAACCUGAGAGUGUCAGUAGCAGAGGCCAUGGGCUGACAUGGCGGAAUGGGAAUGGGAAGUAGAAUUAAAAUGUGUGGCCACAGGGAGACGCUGCCUGUUGUGGCAGACAGAGCUAAAGUGGUCCGCGAGCCUGAGCGUUUCUGUGCUCUAAGCCUCUGUUGUUCUGUAACAGUAACAACGAUCUGAUGCACCUUUGGCAAUGAAGAGUUCAUCGAUUGCUGUAAUUGCCCCACUCAGCAACCUUACAAAGGCAGGUUAGCCCGACAGAUGCUCUCUAAGACCAUAAGGUAUAGAAGCAGAAUUCGGCCAUUUGGGACAUGGAGUCUGCUCCGCCAUUUCAUCGUAACUGAGCCAUUUCUCUCUCAGCUCCUCCCCAUGUCCCUUCAUGCCCUGACUAAUCAAGAAUCUAUCAACCUUUACCUUAAGUAUACCCAAUGACUUUCCCUCCAUAGCCACUUGUAGCAACUAAUUCCACAGAUUCACCACACUCUGGCUAAAGAAAUUCCUCCUCAUCUCUAUUCUAAGUUGAUGUCCCUCUGAUCUAAGGCUGUGCCCUCUAGUCUUAGACUCCCCUGCCAUUCUCUCCAAGUCCACUCAGUCGAGGCCUUUCACCAUUCGAUAGGUUUCAAUGGGGUCGCUCCUCAUUCUUCUGAAUUACAGUGAGUCGAGCCCGGGAGCUGGCUUCUUUUCCCUGCUGUUCCCCAACUGCACAGGCCCUGCUGAUUGAUUCUAGAGUAUUAACCAUAACUCCGCUCUCAUCGGGGGGUAAUAGUUCACCUUUGAUCAUCUCUGCACAGGAAAUAGAGCAGACCCCGUGGGAAAAUCAUGUCUGAAGUUUGAUGGAGGAGGUCCUCAUCCGUGCUGGGACGGGGGUCGGGGAGGGAAGACCAACAUUUAUUAUUGUAAAAGCGGAAAGUGAUAACAAUCCCGAAGAAUUUGAUCCUUCAGCUGGAUCCUAUAAGGUUGGCUGCAUCUUUGCAUGUUGCAGAUGGAUCUGUGAGUCAAUUCAGGUUGAACGCAGCUCAUUUCAACCUGAGACAUUCAAAGCAGCACACUUUGAGAGGUUGAUGCAGGAUGAGAGGUGACUUAAUUAGCUUUCUUGUUGCAUGUACUACGUCGACACAUUCAGUGAAAUGAGUUUUUUGCAUCAAAUCAAAUCAGUGAGGGCUGUGCUCUGUAGCCCACACAUGUUGCCGUUUUCUGACGCCAACUUAGUAUGCCUCCUCAACUGCCUGCGGCAAUGAAUUCCACAGAUUCACCACUCUCUGCUAAAGGAAUUCCUCUUCAUCUACUUUCUAAAACAUCUCCAUUCUAAAUGGAUGUCACUCUGUACUGAGGCUGUGGCCUCUGGUCCUAGGCUCAUCCACCAUUGGAAACAUCCUCUCCACAUCCACUCUAUUGAGGCCCUUCGCCAUUUGAUAGGUUUCAAUGAGGUCGCCCCUCAUUCUUCUGAAUUCCAAUGAGUACAGGCCCAGACCCAUCAAAUGCUCUUCAUAUAUCAAGCCAUUCAACCCUGGAAUCAUUUUCAUGAGCCUCCUUUAAACCCUCUCCAAUAUCAGCACAUCUUUUCUUAGACAAGGAGCCCAAGACUAUUCACAAUACUCCAAGUGAGGCCUCACCAGUGCUUUAUAAAGCCUGAACACUACAUCCUUGCUUUUAUAUUCUAAUUCUCUGGAAAUGAAUGUUCACGUUGUCUUCCUCACCACCGAUUGAACCUGUAAACCUUUAGGGGAGUGGGAGGAUGUCAGUGGUAGAUUCUGUACGCUGUGUAACAGGUGCCUGGAGUGACCUGCCAGGGAGGCUGACACAAUAGAAUCAGAAUCAGACUUUAAUCGCCAAGUACCUGUGCACAUACAAGGAAUUUACUUCCGGCAGAUGUUGUCUCUCUGCUCAUAAUAAUAAUGAUAAAUAUAAAUGAAAAUAUAGAUUAUGCAUACAAGUAAUAGUUAGCCGACAGUUAACCGGCAGUUAACUGUUCAGCAAAGUGACCGCAGUAGGGAAAAAACUUCUUCAGUGCCUACUAGUCUUAGUCUGGAGGGAUCUGAAGCGCCUACCAGAUGGAAGCAGUUCAAACAAUCCGUGCGCAGGAUGGGAGGAGUCCUUUAUGAUGUUCCCUGCCCUCUUCUUCAACCUGGAAGAGUACAGGUCCACAAUAGAGGGCAGGGAGGCCCCGCAUAGGCCCCCAUAGGGGCCUGUAGGGGUCUCUUGGGUUAUGGGUUCUGUGGGAGGAAAGGACCUGGACUAAGUCAAUGGGGACGUCAGUGUGUGUGGGUGCAGGUGAGGAACGUCAGUGUUAGGGUACAGGUGAGGGACGCCAGUGUGUGUGUGUGUACAGGUGAGAACAUCAGUGUGUGUGUGUGUACAGGUGAGAACAUCAGUGUGUGUGUGUGUACAGGUGAGAACAUCAGUGUGUGUGUGUACAGGUGAGGGACGUCAGUGUGUGCGGGUACAGGUGUGGGACGUCCGUGUGUGGGUGCAGGUGAGGGACGUCAGUGUGUGGGUGCAGGUGAGGGACGUCAGUGUGUGUGGGUACAGGUGAGGGAAGUCAGUGUGUGUGGGUGCAGGUGAAGGACGUCAGUGUGUGUGUGUGUGUGUACAGGUGAGAACAUCAGUGUGUGUGUGUACAGGUGAGGGACGUCAGUGUGUGUGGGUAUAGGUGAGGGACGUCAAUGUGUGGGUACAGGUGAGGGACGUCAAUGUGUGGGUACAGGUGAGGGACGUCAAUGUGUGGGUACAGGUGUGGGACGUCAGUGUGUGCGUACAGGUGAGGGACGUCAGUGUGUGUGGGUACAGGUGAGGGACGUCAGUGUGUGGGUACAGGUGAGGGACGUCAGCGUGUGUGUAUACAGGUGAGGGACGUCAGCGUGUGUGUAUACAGGUGAGGGACGUCAUUGUGUGCGGGUACAGGUGUGGGACGUCAGUGUGUGGGUACAGGUGUGGGAUGUCAGUGUGUGUGUGUACAGGUGGGAACGUCAGUGUGUGUGUUUGUAUACAGGUGAGGAACGUCAGUGUGUGGGUAUACAGGUGAGGAACAUCAGUGUGUGUAUGUAUACAGGUGAGGAACGUCAGUGUGUGUGUGUAUACAGGUGAGGAACGUCAGUGUGUGUGUGUGUACAGGUGAGAUCAGUGUGUGUGUACAGGUGAGGAACAUCAGUAUGUGGGUACAGGUGAGGAACGUCAGUGUGUGUGUAUACAGGUGAUGAACGUCAGUGUGUGUGGGUACAGGUGAGAACGUCAGUGUGUGUGUGUGUGUAUACAGGUGUGGAGAGUCAGUGUGUGUGUGUAUACAGGUGAGCGUCAAUGUGUGUGGGUACAGGUGAGGGACGUCAGUGUGUGUGGGUGCAGGUGAGGAAUAUCAGUGUGUGUGGGUACAGGUGAGGAACAGAGUGUGUGUGGGUACAGGUGAGGAACGUCAAUGUAUGGGUACAGGUGAGGGACGUCAGUGUGUGUGGGUGCAGGUGAGGAACAUCAGUGUGUGUGGGUACAGGUGAGGAACAGAGUGUGUGUGGGUACAGGUGAGGAACAUCAGUGUGGGUGUUUGUAUACAGGUGAGGAACAUCAGUGUGUGUAUGUAUACAGGUGAGAAACGUCAGUGUGUGUGUGUGUGUGUGUGUACAGGUGAGAACAUCAGUGUGUGUGUAUACAGGUGAGGAACGUCAGUGUGUGUGUGUAUACAGGUGAGGAACGUCAAUGUAUGGGUACAGGUGAGGGAUGUCAGUGUGUGUGGGUACAGGUUAGGGACGUCAGUGUGUGUGGGUACAGGUGAGAACGUCAGUGUGUGUGGGUACAGGUGAGGAACGUCUGUGUGUGUGUGUGUCUGUGUGUGUGUGUGCGUGUGUGUGUGUGUAUACCGGUGAGGAGGAACGUCAGUGCGUGUGUGUGUACAGGUGAGAACGUCAGUGUGUGUGUGUGUGGGUAUACAGGUGAGGAACGUCAGUGUGUGUGUGUAUACAGGUGAGAAACGUCAGUGUGUGAGUACAGGUGAGGAACGUCAGUGUGUGUGGGUACUGGUUAGGGACGUCAGUGUGUGGGUACAGGUGAGGAACGUCACUGUGUGGGUACAGGUGAGGAACGUCAGUGUGUGGGUACAGGUGAGGGACGUCAGUGUGUGUGGGUACAGGUGAGGAACGUGUGUGUGUGUGUGUGUGUGUGUGUGUGUGUGUAUACCAGUGAGGAGGAACGUCAGUGCGUGUGUGUGUACAGGUGAGAACGUCAGUGUGUGUGUGUGGGUAUACAGGUGAGGAACGUCAGUGUGUGUGUGUAUACAGGUGAGAAACGUCAGUGUGUGAGUACAGGUGAGGAACGUCACUGUGUGGGUACAGGUGAGGAACGUCAGUGUGUGGGUCUGGUGAGGAACAGAAUGUUUGGGUACUGGUGAGGAACGUCAGUGUGUGUGUGUACAGGUGAGGAACAUCAGUGUGUGGGUACAGGUGUGGAACGUCUGUGUGUGUGUAUACAGGUGAGGAACGUCAGUGUGUGUGUAUAUAGGUGAGGAACGUCAGUGUGUGUGGGUACAGGUGAGAACGUCAGUGUGUGUGUGUAUACAGGUGAGGAACGUCAGUGUGUGGGUACAGGUGAGGGACGCCAGUGUGUUUGGGUACAGGUGAAGGACGUCAGUGUGUGGGUUCAGGUGAGGGACGUCAGUGUGUGGGUACAGGUGUGGGACGUCAGUGUAUGCGUACAGGUGAGGGACGUCAGUGUGUGUGUGUGUAUACAGGUGAGGAACAUCAGUGUAUGUGGGUACACGUGAGGGACGUCAGUGUGUGUGGGUACAGGUGAGGGACGUCAGUGUGUGUGGGUACAGGUGAGGGACGUCAGUGUGUGUGUAUACAGAUGAGGGACGUCAGUGUGUGUGGGUACAGGUGAGGAAUGUCAGUGUGUGUGGGUACAGGUGAGGGAUGUCAGUCUGUGUGGGUACAGGUGAGUGACGUCAGUGUGUGGGUUCAGGUGAGGGACUUCAGUGUAUGUGGGUACAGGUGAGGGAAGUCAGUGUGUGUGUGUGUAUACCGGUGAGGAAAGUCAGUGUGUGGGUACAGGUGAGGAACAUCAGUGUGUGGGUACAGGUGAGGAACGUCACUGGGUACAGGUGAGGAACGUCAGUGUGUGGGUCUGGUGAGGAACAGAAUGUUUGGGUACUGGUGAGGAACGUCAGUGUGUGUGUAUACAGGUGAGGAACGUCAGUGUGUGUGUGUGUGUGUGUACAGGUGAGGAACAUCAGUGUGUGGGUACAGGUGAGGAACGUCAGUGUGUGUGUGUGUGUAUAUACAGGUGAGGAACGUCUGUGUGUGUGUAUACCGGUGAGGAGGAACGUCAGUGUGUGUGUGUGUAUACAGGUGAGAACGUCAGUGUGUGUGUGUGUGUAUACAGGUGAGGAACGUCAGUGUGUGUGUAUAUAGGUGAGGAACGUCAGUGUGUGUGGGUACAGGUGAGAAUGUCAGUGUGUGUGUGUGUGUGUGUGUGUACAGGUGAGGAACAUCAGUGUGUGGGUACAGGUGAGGAACGUCAGUGUGUGUGUGUGUGUGUGUGUGUAUACAGGUGAGGAACGUGUGUGUGUGUGUGUGUAUACCGGUGAGGAGGAACGUCAGUGUGUGUGUGUGUAUACAGGUGAGGAACGUCAGUGUGUGUGUAUAUAGGUGAGGAACGUCAGUGUGUGUGGGUACAGGUGAGAAUGUCAGUGUGUGUGUGUACAGGUGAGGAACGUCAGUGUGUGUCAGUACAGGUGAGAACGUCAGUGUGUGUGUACAGGUGAGGAACGUCAGUGUGUGUGUGUAUACAGGUGUGGAGAGUCAGUGUGUGUGUGUAUACAGGUGAGGAGCGUCAAUGUGUGGGUACAGGUGAGGGACGUCAGUGUGUGUGGGUACAGGUGAGGAACAGAGUGUGUGUGGGUACAGGUGAGGGACGUCAGUGUGUGUGGGUACAGGUGAGGGACGUCAGUGUGUGUGGGUACAGGUGAGGAACGUCUGUGUGGGUACAGGUGAGGAACAUCAGUGUGUGUGUGUAUACAGGUGAGGGACGUCAGUGUGUGUGGGUACAGGUGAGGAACGUGUGUGUGUGUGUGUGUGUGUGUGUGUGUAUACCGGUGAGGAGGAACGUCAGUGCGUGUGUGUGUACAGGUGAGAACAUCAGUGUGUGUGUGUGGGUAUACAGGUGAGGAACGUCAGUGUGUGUGUGUAUACAGGUGAGAAACGUCAGUGUGUGAGUACAGGUGAGGAACGUCACUGUGUGGGUACAGGUGAGGAACGUCAGUGUGUGGGUCUGGUGAGGAACAGAAUGUUUGGGUACUGGUGAGGAACGUCAGUGUGUGUGUGUGUGUAUACAGGUGAGGAACGUGUGUGUGUGUGUGUGUAUACCGGUGAGGAGGAACGUCAGUGUGUGUGUGUGUAUACAGGUGAGAACGUCAGUGUGUGUGUGUGUAUACAGGUGAGGAACGUCAGUGUGUGUGUAUAUAGGUGAGGAACGUCAGUGUGUGUGGGUACAGGUGAGAAUGUCAGUGUGUGUGUGUACAGGUGAGGAACGUCAGUGUGUGUCAGUACAGGUGAGAACGUCAGUGUGUGUGUACAGGUGAGGAACGUCAGUGUGUGUGUGUAUACAGGUGUGGAGAGUCAGUGUGUGUGUGUAUACAGGUGAGGAGCGUCAAUGUGUGGGUACAGGUGAGGGACGUCAGUGUGUGUGGGUACAGGUGAGGAACAGAGUGUGUGUGGGUACAGGUGAGGGACGUCAGUGUGUGUGGGUACAGGUGAGGAACGUCUGUGUGGGUACAGGUGAGGGACGUCAGUGUGUGUGGGUACAGGUGAGGAACGUCUGUGUGGGUACAGGUGAGGAACAUCAGUGUGUGUGUGUAUACAGGUGAGGGACGUCAGUGUGUGUGGGUACAGGUGAGGAACGUGUGUGUGUGUGUGUGUGUGUGUAUACCGGUGAGGAGGAACGUCAGUGCGUGUGUGUGUACAGAUGAGAACGUCCGUGUGUGUGUGUGGGUAUACAGGUGAGGAACGUCAGUGUGUGUGUGUACAGGUGAGGGACGUCAGUGUGUGUGGGUUCAGGUGAGGGACUUCAGUAUGUGGGUACAGGUGAGGGACGUCAGUGUGUGUGUGUAUACAGGUGAGGAACGUCAAUGUGUGGGUACAGGUGAGGGACAUCAGUGUGUGUGGGUGCAGGUGAGGGACGUCAGUGUGUGUGGGUGCAGGUGAGGAACGUCAGUGUGUGGGUACAGGUGAGGGACACCAGUGUGUGUGUGUGUACAGGUGAGAACAUCAGUGUGUGUGUGUACAGGUGAGAACAUCAGUGUGUGUGUGUACAGGUGAGGAACGUCAGUGUGUGUGUAUACAGGUGACGGACGUCAGUGUGUGGGUGUACAGGAGAGGGAUGUCGGUGUGUGUAUACAGGUGAGGGACGUCAGUGUGUGUGGGUACAGGUGAGGGACGUCAGUGUGUGGGUACAGGUGAGGGACGUCAGUGUGUGGGUGCAGGUGAAGGACGUCAGUGUGUGGGUACUAGUGAGGGACGUCAUUGUGUGUGCGUACAGCUGAGGGACGUCAGUGUGUGUGGGUACAGGUGAGGAACGUCAGUGUGUGUGUGUGUGUGUGUACCAGUGAGGAACGUCAGUGCGUGUGUGUGUGUACAGGUGAGAACGUCAGUGUGUGUGUGUGGGUAUACAGGUGAGGAACGUCAGUGUGUGUGUGUAUACAGGUGAGAAACGUCAGUGUGUGAGUACAGGUGAGGAACGUCAGUGUGUGUGGGUACAGGUGAGGAACGUCACUGUGUGGGUCUGGUGAGGAACAGAAUGUUUGGGUACUGGUGAGGAACAUCAGUGUGUGUGUGUGUAUACAGGUGAGGAACGUCAGUGUGUAUGUAUACAGGUGAGGAACGUCAGUGUGUGUGGGUACAGGUGAGAACGUCAGUGUGUGUGUGUAUAUACAGGUGAGGAACGUCAGUGUGUGUGUGUGUACAGGUGAGAACAUCAGUGUGUGUGUGUACAGGUGAGGAACGUCAGUGUGUGUGUGUAUACAGGUGAGGAACGUCAAUGUGUGGGUACAGGUGAGGGAUGUCAGUGUGUGUGGGUGCAGGUGAGGAACAUCAGUGUGUGGGUACAGGUGAGGGACGCCAGUGUGUGUGUGUACAGGUGAGGGACGUCAGUGUGUGGGUACAGGUGAGGGACGUCAGUGUGUGUGGGUACAGGUGAGGGACGUCAGUGUGUGGGUGCAGGUGAAGGACGUCAGUGUGUGGGUACAGGUGAGGAACGUCAGUGUGUGGGUGUACAGGUGAGGGACGUCAGUGUGUGCGGGUACAGGUGCGGGAGGUCCGUGUGUAGGUUCAGGUGAGGGAUGUCAGUGUGUUUGGGUAUGGGUGAGGGACUUCAGUGUGUGGGUGCGGGUGAAGGACGUCAGUGUGUGUAUACAGGUGAGAAACGUCAGUGUGUGAGUACAGGUGAGGAACGUCAGUGUGUGGGUCUGGAGAGGAACAGAAUGUUUGGGUACUGGUGAGGAACAUCAGUGUGUGUGUGUAUACAGGUGAGGAACGUCAGUGUGUAUGUAUACAGGUGAGGAACGUCAGUGUGUGUGGGUACAGGUGAGAACGUCAGUGUGUGUGUGUAUAUACAGGUGUGGAACGUCAGUGUGUGUGUGUGUACAGGUGAGAACAUCAGUGUGUGUGUGUACAGGUGAGGAACGUCAGUGUGUGUGUGUAUACAGGUGAGGAACGUCAAUGUGUGGGUACAGGUGAGGGACGUCAGUGUGUGUGGGUGCAGGUGAGGAACGUCAGUGUGUGUGUAUAUAGGUGAGGAACGUCAGUGUGUGUGGGUACAGGUGAGAAUGUCAGUGUGUGUGUGUACAGGUGAGGAACGUCAGUGUGUGUCAGUACAGGUGAGAACGUCAGUGUGUGUGUACAGGUGAGGAACGUCAGUGUGUGUGUGUAUACAGGUGUGGAGAGUCAGUGUGUGUGUGUAUACAGGUGAGGAGCGUCAAUGUGUGGGUACAGGUGAGGGACGUCAGUGUGUGUGGGUACAGGUGAGGAACAGAGUGUGUGUGGGUACAGGUGAGGGACGUCAGUGUGUG